rnacentral:rRNA from 1 species
GGUUAAGCGACUAAGCGUACACGGUGGAUGCCUAGGCAAUCAGAGGCGAUGAAGGACGUGCUAAUCUGCGAUAAGCGUCGGUAAGGUGAUAUGAACCGUUACAACCGACGAUUUCCGAAUGGGGAAACCCAGUGCAAUUCGUUGCACUAUCGUUUGAUGAAUACAUAGUCAAACGAAGCGAACCGGGGGAACUGAAACAUCUCAGUACCCCGAGGAAAAGAAAUCAACCGAGAUUCCCCUAGUAGCGGCGAGCGAACGGGGAGCAGCCCAGAGUCUUAAUCAGCAUUAGCAUCAGGAGAACGGUCUGGAAAGUCCGGCAGUACCCUAGUAGCGGCGAGCGAACGGGGAGCAGCCCAGAGUCUUAAUCAGCAUUAGCAUCAGGAGAACGGUCUGGAAAGUCCGGCAGUAAAGGGUGAUAGCCCCGUAUCCGAAGGUGUUAGUGUUGUGAACUCGACGAGUAGGGCGGGACACGUGUUAUCCUGUCUGAAUAUGGGGGGACCAUCCUCCAAGGCUAAAUACUCCUGAUUGACCGAUAGUGAACCAGUACCGUGAGGGAAAGGCGAAAAGAACCCCGGCGAGGGGAGUGAAAUAGAACCUGAAACCGUGUACGUACAAGCAGUGGGAGCCCCAUCACUCAAGUGCCUCGGCAAUUGAGUGAUGGUGUAAAACCAUCACAAUAACAGCGCAGGAUUUGCCAACAAGAUUGGCUGAUUUUUUCAAGCCGCAGCGCAGUGGACAUCGAAGUCCAUGAGCAGCGGAAGUUAAAAAAUCGGGCAAGAUUGGCCGCAAAGCCAAGCGGGACAUUUGAGGAUGGGGUGACUGCGUACCUUUUGUAUAAUGGGUCAGCGACUUAUAUUCUGUAGCAAGGUUAACCGUAUAGGGGAGCCGUAGGGAAACCGAGUCUUAACUGGGCGAAUAAGUUGCAGGGUAUAGACCCGAAACCCGGUGAUCUAGCCAUGGGCAGGUUGAAGGUUGGGUAACACUAACUGGAGGACCGAACCGACUAAUGUUGAAAAAUUAGCGGAUGACUUGUGGCUGGGGGUGAAAGGCCAAUCAAACCGGGAGAUAGCUGGUUCUCCCCGAAAGCUAUUUAGGUAGCGCCU